CGCCCUGCCCUGCCCAGCAGCUCUGCCCACAGCACCCUGUGCUGGGAGCUUCCCCUGCAGAAGGAUCCUGGACCCCCCUCUCCGUGGCUGCGCUGGGCACCGUGCCCAGAACAUCGUGUUCUGCCACGAGAUUUAACCACACUGUGCUUCCUCUUGAACUUUUGCAGAAGUACUUCAGAAAGGCCAGUCCCACUGGGUUGUGAUGGGCUCCUGGGAAAGCUCCUGGGAGCCAGAACCAGCCAGAGCCAGGUGAACUCACUGCCCCGCUCAGCCCAGGGACCCCCCAAAGGCCCCACUGCCCUCGGGUCAGGUCAGGUCAGCUCACUGUUCUCCUUGCAAGCCACUGCUUUCAGCGUCCUCCCAGCCCUGGACUACCCCCACUGCUAGCAGGGAACAUAAAGGCAACUUUGAAAUCAAUUUUUUAUUAUUGAAAGAGUGAUAGUUAAACAGGCUGAUGCUUCCUCCCACCCCAGUCUCUGUGGAGUCCUUGGCACACGCCAAGAGCUGUGUCCCCCUGCCCCACCAGGGUGCAAACCCUGGGCAGCAGCACAACAGGGCACCCAGGGGCUGCAGCAGUGAAGGCAGAGCUCAGUUUCUGCUGUUCCCAUUGUAGUGGUUUGGGAGUGGAAAUUCUGCAGCUCCGAGGUCAGAAGUAGCUGUGGUGCCAUCCCAAGGCUCUGCUCUGUGCCAAGAGUGCUGAGAAGGAGAUGGGAUGAGACAGUCUCUGAGGUCCCUUCCAGCACAAACUCUCCAGGGUUCUGUGAUCCACAGGCCACGGCCUUGCACCCACUGCCAGCACCUCCUGUCCUCUCCUGCCACCACCUGCUGCCACCCAGCUGGUGACGAGAAACGGUGACAGGGUUUUGCAGCAAUGUGUGAUGUACACGAGCUCUCCAGGCUGCAGCCAAAGCCUGACUCUGUGAGGUUUAUUGCAGGGUUUGUUAGGCAGGGCUUCCUGCUGUGAUCAGUCACAGGAGAGGAGAGCUUGGCCUUUAACUCUGUCCUAAUUGUGACAGACACUGCCCAGCAAGUGGCACAGCUGCAGGAGCUGACAGGACAGUGUGGUCACUUGGCACAGCUGCAGGUAUGGGCAGGACAGUGUGGUCACUCAGCACAGACAGGACCCCGUGGUCACUCAGCACAGCUGCAGCAGUGGCCAGGACCCCGUGGUCACUCAGCACACCUGGGAGGAGUGGACAGGACCCCGUGGUCACUCAGUACAGACAGGACCUCGUGGUCACUCAGCACAGCUGCAGGAGCUGACAGGACAGUGUGGUCACUUGGCACAGCUGCAGGUAUGGGCAGGACAGUGUGGUCACUCAGCACGGACAGGACACUGGUCACUCAGCACAGACAGGACCCCGUGGUCACUCAGCACAGACAGGACCCCGUGGUCACUCGGUGUCCGUGUCGCUGUCGGGGCUCAGCGUGUCCGGGGGCUGCACGCGCAGGGAGUCGUAGUUGGGGGGUGGCGUGCCGGGCUCGGGGGGCAGUGCCGGGGCCCCUGGCCCUGCUGGCCCUGCUGCUGGCCCUGCUGCUGGCCCCGCU
rnacentral:lncRNA from 1 species